CUUCAAAUCACAAUUCAAGUUAUCUUUGAUUGUCAUCUUUUAGGUGACUUUUGCCUAUUAUUGGAAAUGAAAGAAAUAAAAUGUGCCAUGAUUCAUUUGAUUUUGUCACAUGAUCUAAACUUUACAUACAGCACCUUGACUUUAGAUGAAUUUGCAACUGUGUUUUAGCCAACCCCCCUUUUUCCAUUUUAGAAAUAAAAGUGAAAGUAAAGGCUGUUUAUAAAGCCACUAUGUUUCUGUCUCACGUCACUUGAAGUAGAAAAUUCAAAACAGAACGAUGGAGUUCCAGGUCUAUUUGAAGAUUAACAAAAGUACAAUUAAAACAUUAAACCUGCCAACACCAGCACCAAAUGAAGGAAACGGGAAACUCACCGUUGGAGAUUUAAAGAAACAAGCCAUAAGUCAUUUUCCUGGAGUAAAUGAUCUCAACCAACUGAGGUUGAUUUUCGAUGGAAAGGACCUUGAAGAAAAUAAAAAACUUACUGAAUACAAGAUUCAGGAACUCUCUGUCAUUCAAGCCGUGUUGAAAAUGCGUGGUGGAGAAACCUGCUCACAUUAAGAGUUUCGAAGCCAACCAGUGUCUAGUGAGAUCCAG
rnacentral:lncRNA from 1 species